CCUACAGGAUGCAGCAGUGGGGAAUAUUGCACAAUGGGGGAAACACUGCUGCAGCGACGCCGCGUGAGUGAAGAAGUCUUUCGGUAUGUAAAGCUCUAUCAGCAGGGAAGAAAAUGACGGUACCUGAUUAAGAAGCCCCGUCUAACUACGUGCCAGCAGCCGCGGUAAUACGUAGGGUGCAAGCGUUAUCCGGAUUUACUGGGUGUAAAGGGAGCGUAGACGGUAGCACAAGUCUGGAGUGAAAUGCCGGGGCGGAACCCCGGAACUGCUUGGGAUACUGGGCAGCUAGAGUGCAGGAGAGGUAAGUGGAAUUCCUGGUGUAGCGGUGAAAGGCGUAGAUAUCAGGAGGAACAC
rnacentral:rRNA from 1 species